rnacentral:rRNA from 1 species
CCUACGGGAGGCAGCAGUGAGGAAUCUUGGUCAAUGGACGAGAGCCUGAACCAGCCAAGUAGCGUGAAGGAUGACUGCCCUAUGGGUUGUAAACUUCUUUUAUAUGGGAAUAAAAUGUUCCACGUGUGGGAUUUUGUAUGUACCAUAUGAAUAAGGAUCGGCUAACUCCGUGCCAGCAGCCGCGGUAAUACGGAGGAUCCGAGCGUUAUCCGGAUUUAUUGGGUUUAAAGGGAGCGUAGGUGGAUUGUUAAGUCAGUUGUGAAAGUUUGCGGCUCAACCGUAAAAUGGCAGUUGAAACUGGCAGUCUUGAGUACAGUAGAGGUGGGCGGAAUUCGUGGUGUAGCGGUGAAAUGCUUAGAUAUCACGAAGAACUCCGAUUGCGAAGGCAGCUCACUGGACUGCAACUGACACUGAGGCUCGAAAGUGUGGGUAUCAAACAGGAUUAGAUACCCUAGUAGUC